CAAAAAGUAGCUUAACAAAAGCAUUCAACUUACAAUUGAAACAUGUCAGAACUCACUGACCUUUUUGC
rnacentral:tRNA from 1 species